rnacentral:lncRNA from 1 species
UAUUUCAGGUUAAACAUAUAUACAUCAAUACUGUAGAAUCCAUACCGAGAUAACAAAUUAAUGUGCAACAAUUAUGUUUCAUCUAGGAUAGCAAUAUAUACAUGCGUCUACAUAGAGCCUAUGCAUAUAAGAGUACAGAUAAUUCUUAUCAUUCAUCAAAUUUAAGGCAUAACUUCUCAACAAAAGUUCAUCGAAUUGUAUUGAACGACAUCUUCAAUUGACAAAAUUGAUUGCAACCCACAUCAGUAGACAAAAUUUCAAUGGACAAGUGACAUCUUUAGCAGGUCUUCAUUUAUAGGACGAAUGAUCUCUUUAGCAGAUCAUCCUUCAAAGAUAACUUCAGCAAAAGAAUCUUCAAUGGACAAUUUCUAGGACAAGUGACAUCUUUAGCGGAACAAUUUCAGUAGCCCUUCCGGUUAUGACCUAAAAAUAAUGAUUUGGAAUCUAUGAGCAAUCUUGCAUAUAGAAUAUAGAGAACUAUGUUUUCAUCUAUCAUAAUAUAAAUUCUUUGACCCCUUGUAUGUAUUCAGAUGUGUGCCUAUAGUUUUUUUAAUGAAAGUUUAGAGAGAUGAGUGAAUGAAAAAACACAUUACGCCAAAUUAAUUAUCAGGAAGAAUUGUACUAGGAAAUUCCAUCCAUCUCUUAUCCAUAGCUGAUAUUGACAAUCAAAUUUCAAAGGUCACAUAAAUUAUUCUGUGUUUCAAUGGUGUUUUGUGCACGUCAAGUACAAACCAUUGUGCUCAAGGGAAAAAGUAUAAAAACACAUUGCACAAGACAAACAUAAUACAUAGAUAUAACAUUUCAACAUUUAAGCAUAGUAGUGAUGGCAAGCUAGAUGAUACUGACUGUGGUAAAAUGUUUUUUUAGAUCUCCUAUUGGGUAGAUGCUUAGCAACGUAGGUUGAUUCCAGCAAAAUUGAUAGUGGACCACUAAAUUGGACCAUAAAGCAAAAUAGUUCACAUUUAGAUACAAAUUAUAAUGUUGACUUAAAAUUAAAUACUUACGUUAGUAAUUUCAAGAAAAUCCCAAGAUAUCAAUCUAGGUACAGAGUGCUAGAACAUUUAAGGGGCUGCCCAUUUCAAGUAUUUUGCACUAAUGCUUCCGGAGUCAUUUCUGCCAUGAUGCACAUAUUUAGGGAGUGAAGAUGAAUUCUCAAAAUUCUAAAGGUCUCGGAAUUUAGGUGAAGACUUAAUAACAUAGAUGGCUCUAAAAAAAUUCACGUGAAAUCUUUGUAUUAUUGUAUCUCUGAAUUAUGUUCAUGUAUGUAGAUACAUAUUCAGACCAAGAAGUUGCCAAAGAGCAUCCCAUGGUUCACUGUUUCGUAUCAAGACAUGUGGUAAAAUUAGUGAGAUGCAACCCAAUCUGACCGGUGCUAAAAUUAGUGAUGUGGUAACAUGCAGACUAAUUCAGGUUAAUCAUAGGCCAACCAGACUUGUCAGUCAACAAGUAUGUAAUAUGACAUGUCAAAAAACAUGCAGUGUUAAGGGAUUACUGUUUAUCAUCUCAAACAACAACAUGGUUACCUCUUUGAUUUAAGAUUCAUGGUUACCUCCCUUGUCUCUCCCAAUUCUAACACUCUAAACACUCUCUGAUUACAAUCAGUGCAGAAUUUGUUGAAGUACAGAACAAGCAAGUUUCAUGGUCACUUAGUUACCCUAGACUUCUAAGUAAUAAUUAAUGGCUACAAAUUCCCCUCCAAAUCCAUCACACAAGCACCAAUAUGCAGAAUUGUAAAAAGAAAAAAAACACACAUGUAUAACCAGGAGAUUGAUUCUUACAAGGGGACUUGAAGAGGAGGCAGAGGUAGGCCAGCCGAUCUGUGGAGGCGGGGGGGGGGGGGGUAAAAAGAAAAAAAACACACAUGUAUAACCAGGAGAUUGAUUCUUACAAGGGGACUUGAAGAGGAGGCAGAGGUAGGCCAGCCGAUCUGUGGAGGCGUGUGGAGGUGGCACAUAUGCGUGGAGGAGGCUAGGCGUAGAUCAGUGCAGGCAGCGCGAAUGGGUGGAGGUGGCAUGGAUGGGUGGAGGCAGUGCAGACGGUGGGAGGAGGGCGCAGAUCGGUGGGAGGCGGCACAGAUCGGCAGGAGGAGGGCGCAACGGAGGAGGACCUUGGCGGCUUAUUUUCAACGGAUCAAUUAUUCUCAGCACAGAUCGGCA